AAGGGCGUGCUAAUCUGCGAUAAGCGCCGGUAAGGUGAUAUGAACCGUUAUAACCGGCGAUACCCGAAUGGGGAAACCCAGUGUGACUCGUCACACUAUCAUUAACUGAAUCCAUAGGUUAAUGAGGCGAACCGGGGGAACUGAAACAUCUAAGUACCCCGAGGAAAAGAAAUCAACCGAGAUUCCCCCAGUAGCGGCGAGCGAACGGGGAGGAGCCCAGAGCCUGAAUCAGCAUGUGUGUUAGUGGAAGCGUCUGGAAAGGCGCGCGAUACAGGGUGACAGCCCCGUACACAAAAGCGCAUGUGCUGUGAGCUCGAUGAGUAGGGCGGGACACGUGGUAUCCUGUCUGAAUAUGGGGGGACCAUCCUCCAAGGCUAAAUACUCCUGACUGACCGAUAGUGAACCAGUACCGUGAGGGAAAGGCGAAAAGAACCCCGGCGAGGGGAGUGAAAAAGAACCUGAAACCGUGUACGUACAAGCAGUGGGAGCACCCUUUGGGUGUGACUGCGUACCUUUUGUAUAAUGGGUCAGCGACUUAUAUUCUGUAGCAAGGUUAACCGAAUAGGGGAGCCGGAGGGAAACCGAGUCUUAAUUGGGCGUUAAGUUGCAGGGUAUAGACCCGAAACCCGGUGAUCUAGCCAUGGGCAGGUUGAAGGUUGGGUAACACUAACUGGAGGACCGAACCGACUAAUGUUGAAAAAUUAGCGGAUGACCUGUGGCUGGGGGUGAAAGGCCAAUCAAACCGGGAGAUAGCUGGUUCUCCCCGAAAGCUAUUUAGGUAGCGCCUCGUGAAUUCAUCUCCGGGGGUAGAGCACUGUUUCGGCUAGGGGGCCAUCCCGGCUUACCAACCCGAUGCAAACUGCGAAUACCGGAGAAUGUUAUCACGGGAGACACACGGCGGGUGCUAACGUCCGUCGUGAAGAGGGAAACAACCCAGACCGCCAGCUAAGGUCCCAAAGUCAUGGUUAAGUGGGAAACGAUGUGGGAAGGCCCAGACAGCCAGGAUGUUGGCUUAGAAGCAGCCAUCAUUUAAAGAAAGCGUAAUAGCUCACUGGUCGAGUCGGCCUGCGCGGAAGAUGUAACGGGGCUAAACCAUGCACCGAAGCUGCGGCAGCGACACUGUGUGUUGUUGGGUAGGGGAGCGUUCUGUAAGCCUGUGAAGGUGUGUCGUGAGGCAUGCUGGAGGUAUCAGAAGUGCGAAUGCUGACAUAAGUAACGAUAAAGCGGGUGAAAAGCCCGCUCGCCGGAAGACCAAGGGUUCCUGUCCAACGUUAAUCGGGGCAGGGUGAGUCGACCCCUAAGGCGAGGCCGAAAGGCGUAGUCGAUGGGAAACGGGUUAAUAUUCCCGUACUUGGUGUUACUGCGAAGGGGGGACGGAGAAGGCUAUGUUGGCCGGGCGACGGUUGUCCCGGUUUAAGCGUGUAGGUGUGUGUUCCAGGUAAAUCCGGUUCACUUUAACACUGAGGCGUGACGACGAGGCACUACGGUGCUGAAGCAACAAAUGCCCUGCUUCCAGGAAAAGCCUCUAAGCAUCAGGUAACAUCAAAUCGUACCCCAAACCGACACAGGUGGUCAGGUAGAGAAUACCAAGGCGCUUGAGAGAACUCGGGUGAAGGAACUAGGCAAAAUGGUGCCGUAACUUCGGGAGAAGGCACGCUGACACGUAGGUGAAGUGAUUUACUCAUGGAGCUGAAGUCAGUCGAAGAUACCAGCUGGCUGCAACUGUUUAUUAAAAACACAGCACUGUGCAAACACGAAAGUGGACGUAUACGGUGUGACGCCUGCCCGGUGCCGGAAGGUUAAUUGAUGGGGUCAGCGCAAGCGAAGCUCCUGAUCGAAGCCCCGGUAAACGGCGGCCGUAACUAUAACGGUCCUAAGGUAGCGAAAUUCCUUGUCGGGUAAGUUCCGACCUGCACGAAUGGCGUAAUGAUGGCCAGGCUGUCUCCACCCGAGACUCAGUGAAAUUGAACUCGCUGUGAAGAUGCAGUGUACCCGCGGCAAGACGGAAAGACCCCGUGAACCUUUACUAUAGCUUGACACUGAACAUUGAGCCUUGAUGUGUAGGAUAGGUGGGAGGCUUUGAAGUGUGGACGCCAGUCUGCAUGGAGCCGACCUUGAAAUACCACCCUUUAAUGUUUGAUGUUCUAACGUGGACCCGUUACCCGGGUUGCGGACAGUGUCUGGUGGGUAGUUUGACUGGGGCGGUCUCCUCCUAAAGAGUAACGGAGGAGCACGAAGGUUGGCUAAUCCUGGUCGGACAUCAGGAGGUUAGUGCAAUGGCAUAAGCCAGCUUGACUGCGAGCGUGACGGCGCGAGCAGGUGCGAAAGCAGGUCAUAGUGAUCCGGUGGUUCUGAAUGGAAGGGCCAUCGCUCAACGGAUAAAAGGUACUCCGGGGAUAACAGGCUGAUACCGCCCAAGAGUUCAUAUCGACGGCGGUGUUUGGCACCUCGAUGUCGGCUCAUCACAUCCUGGGGCUGAAGUAGGUCCCAAGGGUAUGGCUGUUCGCCAUUUAAAGUGGUACGCGAGCUGGGUUUAGAACGUCGUGAGACAGUUCGGUCCCUAUCUGCCGUGGGCGCUGGAGAACUGAGGGGGGCUGCUCCUAGUACGAGAGGACCGGAGUGGACGCAUCACUGGUGUUCGGGUUGUCAUGCCAAUGGCACUGCCCGGUAGCUAAAUGCGGAAGAGAUAAGUGCUGAAAGCAUCUAAGCACGAAACUUGCCCCGA
rnacentral:rRNA from 1 species